CAAUAACAGGUCUGUGAUG
rnacentral:ncRNA from 2 species